rnacentral:rRNA from 1 species
CAAAUCAUCAUGCCCCUUAUGACCUGGGCUACACACGUGCUACAAUGGUUGGUACAACGAGUUGCGAGUCGGUGACGGCGAGCUAAUCUCUUAAAGCCAAUCUCAGUUCGGAUUGUAGGCUGCAACUCGCCUACAUGAAGUCGGAAUCGCUAGUAAUCGCGGAUCAGCACGCCCGCGGUCGAAUAGUUCCGGCCUU